rnacentral:rRNA from 1 species
GUCCGCCAGAGAAUUACAAGCGAAAAGCUUAAAACUCAAAAGACUUGGCGGUGCCCCACACUCAACUUAGAGGAGCCUGUCCUAUAAUCGAUAACCCACGAUAAACCUGACCACCUUUUGCCACCACAGCCUAUAUACCGCCGUCACCAAUCUACCUCUACAAGAGACACACAGUAGGUAAAAUAGUGUUUCACUAAAACAUCAGGUCAAGGUGUAGCUUAUAAGGUGGAAGAGAUGGGCUACAUUCUUUAACCAAUAAAGCACACAAAAAGAAGCAUGAAAAAGCCCCCCAAAGGAGGAUUUAACAGUAA